GAGAGAGCCACUUAGGUUACGCCGGCCCAAUAGCGAUAAGCUAGCGUGUGCCAAGUGGUGUAACUGUGAAAAUCUAGGAUUCAGACAGAAUGUUUAAUCAGCUGAUCGUAAUUUUGCUUGUUAUUUGAAUCCGAUUUAUCGAUAAAACGAGAUAACGAGCAAUAGCGCCUGGCGAAACACAUACUACCAAUAUUUGACUAUUGUGCAGUCUACGGUCUCGACUCAUGAUCAAGAAGACCAUACUGAAAGUGAUUCGCAGGUGGAGCCAAACGUCAUUAGGAGAACUCCGAAGUAGCCCGCCUGCUAGCUUUGCCCUCCGCUCUUCACUGCACGAGAGAUUCAAAGGUGACAGAGGUUUAAAGUUUAAGGUGGAGAGAUGCGAAGCGCAACAUAUGUCACGAACGGUCGCAUGGCAUCAUAGUCGAUGGCGAGCCCAUAUCUACCGUUGGGGCCACUCAGGGAGUUAUACAAGUGCGAGCCUGUGCGGCACGUUCUGACAAAAACUUCAUUCCUACUGUCUACGUGCCAUAGUCGAACCCUUCAACGCAAGUAGUAACGGCAACAGAACUCAUUGACAUAGCAAACGGCUAGCAGUAUCAUCAUGAACGAGCUGUGUUCUCAACAGUUUUCAAUCUCUUCAAUGAAGACUGGCUGGCGCCCUCGGUAUUCUCGCAAUUGAGUACCAUGGUACUUCUAAACUCCUUCCCAAUGGUUGUCACGUUAGAAACCGCUGCUGCAACACGCGAGCCGUCCCCUUGUCGACCGAGGACGCAAUUGAAUUGCAUCGUUGGAUUACACCAAACAAGAUAUAUGGGAGUAAGCACAGUCAGCCGGAAACCAUCAACGAUAACAGACGUUUAACCGAGACCGAGAAGCUUCGCGUUUAUGAAUAGUAAAAAAACUCCAUAUACCACUGUGGCCUAAUUGAAGCUACUCAGCCUGCUAUCAGGCGUCACACUUAUUACAUAGCAAAGUUUAACUUGAAUGAGUAGCGGGAAAUGGAAGCGAAGCUUUCUGGCUUCGCCAACAGAUACCAUUGCGUGCAACUUGCAGCGUCCUACGAAGAAGUUCGGUUCGUUGGGAAUUUCGCUAAGCGAACUGAAGACGUCGCUUUAGACCGUUUUGAGGAAGAAUACGACAGCUGUUACGAUGACAAAAAGCUCAAAAUCGAAUGUAACUUAUAAAGUAUAAGUUAAUAAACAGACGAUAUCUAUUAGAGAAGUAAAACAUGACACAAAUAUAUAAACAAGCGAUUAUGACAAUUAAGCAUCUGUACGACAGAUUAAUGGUAUUGACAGAGAUAAAUUUGUCGUGACACAGGACAACGUCCAGAUAAGCGACAU